GACGAACGCUGGCGGCGUGCUUAACACAUGCAAGUCGAACGAUGAAGCCGGAGCUUGCUCCGGUGGAUUAGUGGCGAACGGGUGAGUAACACGUGAGCAAUCUGCCCUUGACUCUGAGAUAACUGCGGGAAACUGUAGCUAAUACCGGAUACGACACCUUGGGGCAUCCCAGGGUGUGGAAAGAAUUUCGGUCAAGGAUGAGCUCGCGGCCUAUCAGCUAGUUGGUGAGGUAAUGGCUCACCAAGGCGACGACGGGUAGCCGGCCUGAGAGGGUGAACGGCCACACUGGAACUGAGACACGGUCCAGACUCCUACGGGAGGCAGCAGUGGGGAAUAUUGCACAAUGGGCGAAAGCCUGAUGCAGCAACGCCGCGUGAGGGAUGAAGGCCUUCGGGUUGUAAACCUCUUUUAGCAGGGAAGAAGCGAAAGUGACGUUACCGACAGAAUAAGCACCGGCUAACUUCGUGCCAGCAGCCGCAGUAA
rnacentral:rRNA from 1 species